GACGAACGCUGGCGGCGUGCUUAACACAUGCAAGUCGAACGAUGAAGCCGGAGCUUGCUCCGGUGGAUUAGUGGCGAACGGGUGAGUAACACGUGAGCAAUCUGCCCUUGACUCUGGGAUAACUGCGGGAAACUGUAGCUAAUACCGGAUACGACACCUUGGGGCAUCCCAGGGUGUGGAAGGAAUUUCGGUCAAGGAUGAGCUCGCGGCCUAUCAGCUAGUUGGUGAGGUAAUGGCCCACCAAGGCGACGACGGGUAGCCGGCCUGAGAGGGUGACCGGCCACACUGGAACUGAGACACGGUCCAGACUCCUACGGGAGGCAGCAGUGGGGAAUAUUGCACAAUGGGCGAAAGCCUGAUGCAGCAACGCCGCGUGAGGGAUGAAGGCCUUCGGGUUGUAAACCUCUUUUAGCAGGAAAGAAGCGAAAGUGACGGUACCUGCAGAAAAAGCACCGGCUAACUGCGUGCCAGCCGCCGCCGUAA
rnacentral:rRNA from 1 species